UUGUGUGUUGCAUUGUCAAGUCUUGUUCAUUUUUGAAGUUGUGCCUCGUAGUUAUCGGACCUUGUUUCUGGAUUUUUGGACUUUGCCUUUAUGCUACGCAAUUUUUGUGCUUCUGCCUUUUUGGAUUGCUCAUCUGUGUAUUACGUUUGCCAAAAUUAAAUUGUCCUCAAAAAUCAUGACCCUGCCUCAGAGCCCUGCAUUUGGGUUUUAUCCCAUGUCACUUACUCGUGACAAUGGCGGGUUUCGCCAUGCCUUGAUUCAUUCAUUUCCAUCCAUAUUCCUUACUGCUUAUCCUCACGAGGGUCACGGCCGUGCUGGAGCCUAUCCCAGCUAUCUUCACGUGAGAGGCUGGAUGUACCCUGAAGUGGUCGCUAGCCAAUCACAGGGAUGCGGGAGGAAAUCGGCGUACCCGAAGAAAGCCCACACAGACACAUGAAAAGGAUGCGAACUCCACACAGGCGAGGCCAAAUUUGAACCCAGGUCCUCAGAACUGUGAGGCAGAUGUGCUACCCACCUGCGCACUGUGUCGCCCAUGAAUUACAAAUACGUUGUUGUUAGUUUAGUUGUGUUUAUCCUUUCGUAACAUCAUAAGAAUUGUCAUUGGGCACUGACACUUUUAUUUUAUUGUUAUUCGCACUAUUAAACUGUUGACUUAAAAAGCUUUUUA